rnacentral:sRNA from 2 species
GUAAAAGCUAACUAGGGUUCCGUUUCAUCAAUAGAUAAAAGACUGGUCCGAGAGUUGGCGGCAUAGAGAUAUGCUACACGGAGGGAGAAAAGCCCGGGAGGU